rnacentral:rRNA from 1 species
UACGUAUGGUGCAAGCGUUAUCCGGAUUUACUGGGUGUAAAGGGAGCGCAGGCGGCACGGCAAGCCUGAUGUGAAAGCCCGGGGCUCAACCCCGGGACUGCAUUUGGAACUGUGCUGCUAGAGUGUCGGAGAGGCAGGCGGAAUUCCUAGUGUAGCGGUGAAAUGCGUAGAUAUUAGGAGGAACACCAGUGGCGAAGGCGGCCUGCUGGACGAUGACUGACGUUGAGGCUCGAAAGCGUGGGGAGCAAACAGG